AGCUCUGUAAGCGUAUACCAAAGUUGUUGCAGUUAAAACGCUCGUAGUCGGAUUUUGGGGCAGCCCGUGCUGUGCGCGUAGUGCGUGCGGCGCUGGGAUGUUCUUUUGUGGAGGGCGGCCCGUCGUGGCUUUACUGUCGCGGCGUGUCGGCGCCACCGUUUACUGUGAAAAAAUUAGAGUGUUCAAAGCAGGCGUUUGCCGUGAAUACAUUAGCAUGGAAUAAUAGAAUAGGACUUGGUUUCUAUUUUGUUGGUUUGUGAGAGCCGAGUAAUGAUUAAGAGGGACGGUUGGGGGCAUUUGUAUUCCAGCGUCAGAGGUGAAAUUCUUGGAUUGCUGGAAGACAAACCGCUGCGAAAGCGUCUGCCAAGGACGUUUUCAUUGAUCAAGAACGAAAGUACGC
rnacentral:rRNA from 1 species